rnacentral:lncRNA from 1 species
CUGGAUAUUUACCAAGUUCUGCUCUCCUGCAUUGACUUCACUGCACCAGUUACGUACACACACACACACACACCCACACACACACACACACACACACACACACCACACACACACACAACACACACAACACACACACCACACACACACAAACACACACACACACACACACAGGCACACAGACACGCACACACACACACCGCACGCACACACAACACACACACACACACACACACACACAACACACACACAACACACACACACACACACAGGCACACACAGACACGCACACACACACACACACGCACACACACACCACACACACACACACACACACACCACACAAACACACACACACAACACACACCACACACACACACACACACAGUACACACAGACACACACGACAACGCACACACACGAACACACACACACACAACACAACACAGUGUAACCACAGACACGCACACACACACACAACACACACACACACAGGUAACACACAGGACACACAGCACACACAACACACACACACACACACAGUACACACAGACACACACACACACACACACACACUACACACACACACACACAAGGUACACACAGACACGCCACACACAACCACACACACACACGACACACACACACACACACACACACACACAGCACACACACACACACACACACACACAGCAUGGUACACACAGACAACUCCACGCAAACAACAGGUACACACAACAAACAACACACACACUCACACAACACACACACAGUACACACACAACACACACACACACACAACACAACAGUACAAAACAUACACCACACACACACACACACACACACAGUAACACACCACACACACACAAACCACACACACACAACACACACACACACACACACACACACAACACACACACAGUACACCCACACAGGUACACACACUACACACACGUAACACACACACACAGUUACACACAACAUACAAACACACACACACACAGGUACACACCACAGACACACACAACACAGGUACACACACACAGGUACACACAACGCACGCACACACACACACAGCACACACACACACACAGGUACACACACACAGGUACACACACGGACACACACACACACACACACAGGUACACACACACACAAAGGUACACACAUACACGCACACAACACACACAAGCACACACACACAAUGGGAAGACAGAGAAAGAAGUG